rnacentral:rRNA from 1 species
AGGGUAUAGACCCGAAACCCGGUGAUCUAGCCAUGGGCAGGUUGAAGGUUGGGUAACACUAACUGGAGGACCGAACCGACUAAUGUUGAAAAAUUAGCGGAUGACCUGUGGCUGGGGGUGAAAGGCCAAUCAAACCGGGAGAUAGCUGGUUCUCCCCGAAAGCUAUUUAGGUAGCGCCUCGUGAAUUCAUCUCCGGGGGUAGAGCACUGUUUCGGCCAGGGGGCCAUCCCGGCUUACCAAUCCGAUGCAAACUGCGAAUACCGGAGAAUGUUAUCACGGGAGACACACGGCGGGUGCUAACGUCCGUCGUGAAGAGGGAAACAACCCAGACCGCCAGCUAAGGUCCCAAAGUCAUGGUUAAGUGGGAAACGAUGUGGGAAGGCCCAGACAGCCAGGAUGUUGGCUUAGAAGCAGCCAUCAUUUAAAGAAAGCGUAAUAGCUCACUGGUCGAGUCGGCCUGCGCGGAAGAUGUAACGGGGCUAAACCAUGCACCGAAGCUGCGGCAGCGAACGUAUCACCCAAGACAACUUUGCACAGUUGACGAUUGACGGAGCGAAGCGACGUCAAAGCGUUUUACAACGUCGAGUUGGCUUAGGGAUACGUUCGUUGGGUAGGGGAGCGUUCUGUAAGCCGUUGAAGGUGUGUCGUGAGGCAUGCUGGAGGUAUCAGAAGUGCGAAUGCUGACAUAAGUAACGAUAAAGCGGGUGAAAAGCCCGCUCGCCGGAAGACCAAGGGUUCCUGUCCAACGUUAAUCGGGGCAGGGUGAGUCGACCCCUAAGGCGAGGCCGAAAGGCGUAGUCGAUGGGAAACGGGUUAAUAUUCCCGUACUUGGUGUUACUGCGAAGGGGGGACGGAGAAGGCUAUGUUGGCCGGGCGACGGUUGUCCCGGUUUAAGCGUGUAGGCUGACUUUCCAGGCAAAUCCGGAGAGUCAAGGCUGAGGCGUGACGACGAGGCACCACGGUGCUGAAGCAACAAAUGCCCUGCUUCCAGGAAAAGCCUCUAAGCCUCAGGUAACAUCAAAUCGUACCCCAAACCGACACAGGUGGUCAGGUAGAGAAUACCAAGGCGCUUGAGAGAACUCGGGUGAAGGAACUAGGCAAAAUGGUGCCGUAACUUCGGGAGAAGGCACGCUGACACGUAGGUGAAGCGGUUUACCCGUGGAGCUGAAGUCAGUCGAAGAUACCAGCUGGCUGCAACUGUUUAUUAAAAACACAGCACUGUGCAAACACGAAAGUGGACGUAUACGGUGUGACGCCUGCCCGGUGCCGGAAGGUUAAUUGAUGGGGUCAGCGCAAGCGAAGCUCCUGAUCGAAGCCCCGGUAAACGGCGGCCGUAACUAUAACGGUCCUAAGGUAGCGAAAUUCCUUGUCGGGUAAGUUCCGACCUGCACGAAUGGCGUAAUGAUGGCCAGGCUGUCUCCACCCGGGACUCAGUGAAAUUGAACUCGCUGUGAAGAUGCAGUGUACCCGCGGCAAGACGGAAAGACCCCGUGAACCUUUACUAUAGCUUGACACUGAACACUGGUCCUUGAUGUGCAGGAUAGGUGGGAGGCUUUGAAGUGUGGACGCCAGUCUGCAUGGAGCCAUCCUUGAAAUACCACCCUUUAAUGGCUGGUGUUCUAACGUGGACCCGUAAUCCGGGUUGCGGACAGUGUCUGGUGGGUAGUUUGACUGGGGCGGUCUCCUCCUAAAGAGUAACGGAGGAGCACGAAGGUUGGCUAAUCCUGGUCGGACAUCAGGAGGUUAGUGCAAUGGCAUAAGCCAGCUUGACUGCGAGCGUGACGGCGCGAGCAGGUGCGAAAGCAGGUCAUAGUGAUCCGGUGGUUCUGAAUGGAAGGGCCAUCGCUCAACGGAUAAAAGGUACUCCGGGGAUAACAGGCUGAUACCGCCCAAGAGUUCAUAUCGACGGCGGUGUUUGGCACCUCGAUGUCGGCUCAUCACAUCCUGGGGCUGAAGUAGGUCCCAAGGGUAUGGCUGUUCGCCAUUUAAAGUGGUACGCGAGCUGGGUUUAGAACGUCGUGAGACAGUUCGGUCCCUAUCUGCCGUGGGCGCUGGAAGAUUGAGGGGGGCUGCUCCUAGUACGAGAGGACCGGAGUGGACGCAUCACUGGUGUUCGGGUUGUCAUGCCAAUGGCACUGCCCGGUAGCUACAUGCGGAAGAGAUAAGUGCUGAAAGCAUCUAAGCACGAAACUUGCCCCGAGAUGAAUCUUCCCUGAGCCUUUAAGGCUCCUGAAGGAACGUUGAAGACGACGACGUUGAUAGGCCGGGUGUGUAAGCGCAGCGAUGCGUUGAGCUAACCGGUACUAAUGAACCGUGAGGCUUAACCUUACAACGCCGAAG